rnacentral:rRNA from 1 species
UACGUAGGGGGCAAGCGUUGUCCGGAUUUAUUGGGCGUAAAGAGCGUGUAGGCGGCCAGACAGGUCUGCUGUGAAAACUCGAGGCUCAACCUCGAGACGCCGGUGGAAACCGUCUGGCUAGAGUCCGGAAGAGGAGAGUGGAAUUCCUGGUGUAGCGGUGAAAUGCGCAGAUAUCAGGAAGAACACCCGUGGCUAAGGCGGCUCACUGGCCCAUAACUGACGCUGAGGCACGAAAGCGUGGGGAGCAAACAGG